rnacentral:tRNA from 1 species
AGGGGCGUAGCUCAGCGGUAGAGCAGCCGGCUCAUAACCGGUAAGGCCCUGGUUCGAAUCCAGGCGCCCCUA